GACGAACGCUGGCGGCGUGCCUAAUACAUGCAAGUAGGACGCAGUUGCGAACGGGUGAGUAACGCGUAGGUAACUACCUAUUAGAGGGGGAUAACUAUUGGAAACGAUAGCUAAUACCGCAUACUAGUAGAUGGACAUGCGUUGUAUUAGCUAGUAGGUAGGGUAAUGGCCUACCUAGGCAACGAUACAUAGCCGACCUUGUAGGGGGAUCGGUCACACUUGGAUCGGCACAAGGCCCAGACUCCUACGGGAGGCAGGAGUAGGGGAUCUUCGGGAAUUGGGGGAAACCGGUCCUAGCAACGGCCCGUUAGUGAAAAAGGUCUUCGGAUCGUAAAACUCUGUUGUGAAGGAAGCGGUACUUAACCAGAAAGUGACGGCUAACUACGUGCCAGCAGCCGCGGUAAUUC
rnacentral:rRNA from 1 species